AACGUAGGAGGCAAGCGUUAUCCGGAUUUACUGGGCGUAAAGCGCGUGCAGGCGGUUCCAUAAGUCCGACGUGAAAUCCCAAGGCUUAACCUUGGAACUGCGUCGGAUACUGGAUGGCUUGAAUUCGGGAGAGGGAUGCAGAAUUCCAGGUGUAGCGGUGAAAUGCGUAGAUAUCUGGAGGAAUACCGGUGGCGAAGGCGGCAUCCUGGACCGACAUUGACGCUGAACGGCGAAAGCUAGGGGAGCAAACGGG
rnacentral:rRNA from 1 species